UCCGUUUACCUUCUGGAGUUUGUUCUAGC
rnacentral:sRNA from 1 species